rnacentral:rRNA from 1 species
UACGAAGGGGGCUAGCGUUGCUCGGAAUCACUGGGCGUAAAGGGUGCGUAGGUGGAUUUUUAAGUCAGGGGUGAAAUCCUGGAGCUCAACUCCAGAACUGCCUUUGAUACUGGGAAUCUUGAGUUCGGGAGAGGUGAGUGGAACUGCGAGUGUAGAGGUGAAAUUCGUAGAUAUUCGGAGGAACACCAGUGGCGAAGGCGGCUCACUGGCUCGAUACUGACGCUGAGGUGCGAAAGCGUGGGGAGCAAACAGG